rnacentral:lncRNA from 1 species
GAUUCUUAAAAUAAGAUUUUUUUAAUAUGACUUAUUAUCAUAAAGAUAUAUUUACACACUUUACAGAAAUAGAAAAUAAAAACACAAAGCUACGCAUGAAAGGAAAAAAUAAAAUAAGUACUCCAAGAGCUAAAGCUUAUAUUUUAUAAAUUAGAAACCAAAAGUUCAAAUAUGUACACAGUAUUUCAACCAUUUCUGAUACACUUGUUUCGUCAUUUAUUUAUUUAAUUUUUGCCCAGUUCAACAUCAAAACAGAGACAGGGACUGUACAGUUGGCCUGGUGAGUAAUAUGAGCACAUACCUUCGACAGUAGUAAAGAGGUUCAGGUGUAAUACAUUGUCUUUUUAACUGCAGUUUGCUUGUGACCUAGUAAGUAACACUGUUGCAAUGGCAUUUCAGCCUAAGCACUCUGGAGCUCCCUCAACUACUCUGAAUGGUAUUGAUGGUGGACCCAGUUUGCCAUGUAGAUGGAGAACAUUGUCAUAAUCAAUGGGAGGAGGGGCCUUCUCUAUUCUGGGGUAUGAAUGUCUCAUUUGAGGCAGCGAGAUAAUGACAGAUCAUUUUCAUCUCCCGCGGGAGAUCAAAUCUAGUUAUCCUUUGGAUUGUCCCGCCUGUGGAAUUGUGGGACUGCAUCGGGAUUGAAUCUUAGCCACUUGAUCCUGCAGAUACCCCCACUCUGUGUGUGUGAUGUAUGACGGGUUUAGAUGCAUAAGGUAAAACCAUGGAAUGUAUUGCAUGCUAGCUAAGUCGUUUUUCUUGGUGGGUCGUGUUACGUUUGGAAAGGGGUUUUACUGUAGCUUGUCAAGAGCUGAGAGAAAGUGACAGCGACAUCAAAGAUUAAAAACCUAGUGGUUUUGAUUGACUCUUUGUGGGGACUGCCUACAGCUAGAGCGAGACAGUGACCCAUGGCUAAGCUGCAGUUUUCAUCACUAGCUUGCUAGCUGCUAGACUCCUUUCUCCACCAGUCAUACACAUUUAUCCCUCCACUGCUUCCUACUCCAUACACACUCCCAGCCAAGUGCACAUUUCUAAAAGUGGAAAAUGAGCUGAGCACAAACAUGGUACGUUCUUCUCGGAACAAACAAACCAGUGAAAACAUGCUAACAUGUGCAUAGGAACAUUACUCAGGCCUUGUGAUGUAACAAAUAAGAGGAUUGUGAGGAAACAAGAUGAGAGGAUGGCAAUCGUUUCUCUUGCGUAAGCUUUGCUGGAAAAGACCAUUAAGGAAAAUGUAUUGGUUUCCCAUUUCAGUUUGAGCCUGGAUGUGCUUGUCCUUCUACACCACAAGCUCCAUUAACCUAAAAUGGAGGCCUGUAGGGUAUGUUUUAUAGGAGAAGAAUGCGUGAAGCUCUCACCUGUCUACAACAUAUUGUACUGCAGACAAAAUGUUCUAUUAUUGUUUACGACCACAAAAUAUACAGCUGUAUUCCACACUGUAUUUAAAAAAAGUACGCUUUGGACAACCAGCUAGACAAGAAUCAGACGACCAAAAAUUGUCACAAAACACUGGAGAGCCAUUUUAUACCAAGGGUUUUCAGUUUUUUUUUAACCAGCAGCAUAAUGGAAUUGCAAAAGUGCAGCCUGGCUUGCCCGUACAAAGAAGUCUUGGAGCAAAGCCAGGUGAUUGAUAUUUGGCUUUGGAAGUUUGGAUCCAACUGAUAACCAACUAGGGUGGACUAGCAGUGAUUUGGGGAGACCAAGACUCAAAUUGUACUCUAUACAUAAACAUUGGGUCUGCAUUUGGAGGGGCGGCUCGGCUGGUGCAGAUGGUGGGGAUACAUUCAUGAAGAACAGUGCGGAUACAGACAUUGCUCUGCUUCCUUAACACUAGCUUCUCAGACUGGAAAAUAGUGAUUUUAAACCUAUUAUUUUGAGCCAAUCCAGCCCAACUCUUGUGGCUUAGAAUGCCCAUCGUUGCAAGGCCCCCCAAGGCAAAGGAAGAGCAUAGAAAUCAGAACUUGGGGGUGGGCGCUCGAAGCAGUGCCUGCAAAACAAAAACAGAAGACGACAAAUGUGCCAUAAGUCCAGUGAAAUUUUCAUGAACAUUUAUGUGAGUCAUGCAGCCAUUUUAUUUCCCCCUUACAAUAGAAAGCCCUCUAGGAUUCAGUGUUGUUCUUGAG